AUUGAACGCUGGCGGCAGGCCUAACACAUGCAAGUCGAACGGUAACAGGAAACAGCUUGCUGUUUCGCUGACGAGUGGCGGACGGGUGAGUAAUGUCUGGGAAACUGCCUGAUGGAGGGGGAUAACUACUGGAAACGGUAGCUAAUACCGCAUAACGUCGCAAGACCAAAGAGGGGGACCUUCGGGCCUCUUGCCAUCGGAUGUGCCCAGAUGGGAUUAGCUAGUAGGUGGGGUAACGGCUCACCUAGGCGACGGUCCCUAGCUGGUCUGAGAGGAUGACCAGCCACACUGGAACUGAGACACGGUCCAGACUCCUACGGGAGGCAGCAGUGGGGAAUAUUGCACAAUGGGCGCAAGCCUGAUGCAGCCAUGCCGCGUGUAUGAAGAAGGCCUUCGGGUUGUAAAGUACUUUCAGCGGGGAUGAAGGGAGUAAAGUUAAUACCUUUGCUCAUUGACGUUACCCGCAGAAGAAGCACCGGCUAACUCCGUG
rnacentral:rRNA from 1 species